UGUGCAAAAUCGUAGAGUUCCUCUGGAGUUUUUCAAAGCCCAUCAUGGGCAUACUGUACUUAAGAACUCCCCUUUCAGUUUUUUUCCAGAGUCUUCUCUUUUUGCCUCAGUUGGGAUUGCAGCCUCAGGUAGCCGUAGUGGUCACACAUGACUUAGGAAAAUCAUUCUCCACUUCAUUUCUAUUAUUUUUUAUAGAUUAUUUAAGUAUAUUGAAUCACAACCAGUAACCACAAGAUGGCUGCCGCCAAGUACUGGCUGAUGAUUAACUCUGCCUGCUGAAGCUGUUCUCCGAAACCACACUCCCAGAACAGAAGUUCCCAAAAGCUUGCUUACGUCAAUCAAACAAUUGUUGAAUUGUAUUGAUGAU